rnacentral:rRNA from 1 species
GUGCCAGCCGCCGCGGUAAUACGUAGGUGGCAAGCGUUGUCCGGAUUUAUUGGGCGUAAAGCGAGCGCAGGCGGUUUCUUAAGUCUGAUGUGAAAGCCUUCGGCUCAACCGAAGAAGUGCAUCGGAAACUGGGAAACUUGAGUGCAGAAGAGGACAGUGGAACUCCAUGUGUAGCGGUGAAAUGCGUAGAUAUAUGGAAGAACACCAGUGGCGAAGGCGGCUGUCUGGUCUGUAACUGACGCUGAGGCUCGAAAGCAUGGGUAGCAAACAGGAUUAGAUACCCUGGUAGUCCAUGCCGUAAACGAUGAGUGCUAGGUGUUGGAGAGUUUCCGCCCUUCAGUGCCGCAGCUAACGCAUUAAGCACUCCGCCUGGGGAGUACGACCGCAAGGUUGAAACUCAAAGGAAUUGACGGGGGCCCGCACAAGCGGUGGAGCAUGUGGUUUAAUUCGAAGCAACGCGAAGAACCUUACCAGGUCUUGACAUCCUUUGACCACUCUAGAGAUAGAGCUUUCCCUUCGGGGACAAAGUGACAGGUGGUGCAUGGUUGUCGUCAGCUCGUGUCGUGAGAUGUUGGGUUAAGUCCCGCAACGAGCGCAACCCUUAUUACUAGUUGCCAGCAUUUAGUUGGGCACUCUAGUGAGACUGCCGGUGACAAACCGGAGGAAGGUGGGGACGACGUCAAAUCAUCAUGCCCCUUAUGACCUGGGCUACACACGUGCUACAAUGGAUGGUACAACGAGUUGCGAGACCGCGAGGUUUAGCUAAUCUCUUAAAACCAUUCUCAGUUCGGAUUGUAGGCUGCAACUCGCCUACAUGAAGCCGGAAUCGCUAGUAAUCGCGGAUCAGCAUGCCGCGGUGAAUACGUUCCCGGGCCUUGUACACACCGCCCGU